rnacentral:lncRNA from 1 species
CUUGGCAGUCUUUUAUUAUUAUUUUGUAAUAUUUUAUAUCGUAUUACGUGUUAUAAGUGCCAUUUUCAAAAUAGUGAACAAGACUAACAAUACUUCGCAAAUAUUUGUCCCCAAAAUGGCAAGACGUUUGAGGAGUGCGAAUGUAUUAUUAGAGAGAAUAAAUGAUAUCGAUGCAGAAUGUUCUGAAGAUGAUCAGGAAAUUCUGGAUAUGGAAAA